CUGGGACUUAAGUCAAUAAGUGGCAGCCACCAGGCAGGCCCAGCUGGAGCCAAACCAAGGCCUGGAUUCUCCUCGUGGAUGUCUGGUCUGCCUCUGCCUUUGCUCCUGCUAUCCCCAGGGCCCCAGGUGCCCCUCCCUCCACCUCAUCCUUCUGGACCCAGCAAAUGUCCUCCACCAGGAGGCCUUUCUGGACCUCGUCAUCCUCCUGGAAGGAUCCUCUCCCACCCCGAAGUCCUUUAACUAUUUACUUGUCCCUCUCCUUCGUACUGAGCUUAUGCUGUAUUUGUUUAUGUGCUUAUCUUCUACCGGGCUCAUCUCUGUAACCUUUUUAUUCUUUUAUUCAUUCAUUCCACAAAUACUAAUUGAGCACCUACUAUGUGCCAGACCCCAUGCUAGGACUGGGGACACAAUGAUGAGCAAGACAGACACUGUCCCUGCCACCCUGGAACUCCCAUGUUGGAGAGAAAAAACAAAAACAAAACACGAAGCAAAUAAACAUUAGUAAACACGUCAGGAUAAGCGGCGAUACAGGCUGGAAUAGAAAGGUGUAGGUGAUGUGAGAGGCGAGUGUCCGUGCGGACGGAGGAGCUGGGGGAGGAGACUCUGAGGCCAGAGGUGUGAGCGGAGUGAGUCGGGCACGCUUUCCAGACACAAAAUCGGUGUUUGCUAAACAUGCGUGGAACAAAUGAGUGGCUAACAAGCCAGAAAUUCUGAGCGUGUGCCCCGUGUCGCUCCAGACACAACUUCCUCACCCUCAUCACCCUGUGGGUCACUCCGACUGGCACCCAGACGCGUUUCCCAGCCCACACGCCUGCUACGGGGCCCACCUGUGUCACCCUCACAGAGGCGCUUGCCAGGACUCAAGGGGCUCUCCGCUCAGAACCCCUCAUGGCCUCCCUGACACCACCAGCGGCCCUCGGGCUGGACAGCAAGCGGGUUUUGUCUCGCCUGCAGACUCCAGCCCCGGAGCACCACGCGUGGAAGCACGGCGAGGCCGCCCCUGGGCUCGGUGGGAAAGAGCUCUGAUCGACUGGUGGCGUCUGCCAGGGAAUGGCAGAAGACAGAGAGGCACAUUUGCCACGUAUUUUCCUUGUCACCCAGGGCUCCACAAAUGACCACUCAGGCAAGAAAUCUCCUUCGGGUCUAAUUGCCUGGACGAGCAUUCAGUAUCUGGUGCCCUUUCCUUAUGGGCCACGUGAACCACGUCACUGAUUUUUUUUUCCUGCCUUGACUGCUCAUUAGCUCAGAGCUAAAUGUGUGGUUCAAACACAGCAAAGUAUAUACAGCUCGAUGGCCUGAAUAGGGGGUCUAACUCUCCCCCUGCUUUCAACCUUCUACUAAUCUACAUCUAUGUCUUUUCUGAUCUUAUUUUUAUGAUCUCUAGUUACAUGUCCAUAUACAUACACACAUAUAUGUAUAGACAUAUAUAAACAGACAUACAUACAUAUAUAAAUAUAAAAUAUCUACAUAUAGGUCUGGUAUGUAAUACCUACUUUACUUUUUUUCUAUGAAUGUAUCUUUUAGAUAUAUAGAUAUAUUAUGAAUAUAUCUUACUUUAAAAAACAGAGACAGGGUCUCACUAUGCUGCCCAGGCUUGGCUCAAACUCCUGGACUGAAGCGAUCUGCCUGCCCUGCCCCCAACAAAGUGCUGGGAUUACAGGCACGAGCCACCAUGCACAGCCAUUAACAUGUCUUUUUAUAUUUAUUUUUUACAUUUCUUCUCCCUUUUUUUUUUUUUCAGAGACAGGGUCUCACUAUGUUGCCUACGCUUCCCAAAGUGCUGGGAUUACAGGCACGAGCCACCGCACCCAGCCUUUAUAUUUCUUAUAUAAAUAAAAUAUAGAGAGAGAUAUA